rnacentral:rRNA from 1 species
CCCUGGUGGCGAGUGGCGAACGGGUGAGUAAUACAUCGGAACGUGUCCUGUAGUGGGGGAUAGCCCGGCGAAAGCCGGAUUAAUACCGCAUACGCUCUACGGAGGAAAGGGGGGAUCUUAGGACCUCCCGCUACAGGGGCGGCCGAUGGCAGAUUAGCUAGUUGGUGGGGUAAAGGCCUACCAAGGCGACGAUCUGUAGCUGGUCUGAGAGGACGACCAGCCACACUGGGACUGAGACACGGCCCAG